rnacentral:lncRNA from 1 species
UUACAAGGAUUCAGCAUGCUCUCGGAAUUCCAAAAUCCACCGUGGUUCUGAAAUCUGCUCCGGUUGGUCGGAGGGUCUCCUCUAGGUGCCUGCGUUGUUAAGGCGUUUUUUCCCGGGUUUCAGCACCAAGUAUCCCGAGCUUAUCCCCGUCCCGCGGGAAAUAAACACAGGACACACCAGAUUCUUCCACGGUUAACUUUUACUUCUAUAUCAUAUUGAGGGCAUCUGCCAGUGAAGGCUACCUGGACAUGGGUUUGAGCAGACAGAAAGUUGAUACGAGCCGCCAGUGACUAACUACACUGGGCGUUUGGGAUCCCAGGGUCGCCCUGAGCCUUUCUCAGAGGGACUUUUAAGCCCACAAACCAUAUUCCGGGUUGACGUACUUCAGUUAACAGAAAGCAGAGGUACAGAAGCCAAAAAGCAAGAAACCAGCUGAUGACCCCCAUGUCCACCAUGCUGCUUCUGUGACUCUACUCUGCGUUCAUCGACUCUGGAACU